ensembl:lncRNA LINC02411 long intergenic non-protein coding RNA 2411
GCCCCUCUCAAAUUUACUCAGUAGGGGGAACUUCACCUUCUCCUAUGUAAAUGGGCUUUUCUGCUUAUGUUUAAAUAAUAGGCCAUUGUGUGGCAAACAACUCUAUCAAAAGUUGUGUCUUUUACCCUAGCUCCUGGGAAAUAACCACUAAAGUCUUGAAAUGUCUUGAGUGAUUGGAGGACCUUUAUUUUUCACGCCUGAUGCCUUAUGCUGAUGAGAUGACUCAGCAGGGGAUGGCCAGGCCAGAAAGACCAAAACUGUAUCCUGAGGUUUGAGUUUCUGAGCCAGGUGAUGUCAUCCUCCAGCUUGGCCGGCCUCUUUCUGGGAGCCUCUGGUGUGAAAGAGAGCAGGAGUUUGCCUAAAUCUUCAAAGAUAUGUGAGGCUUGCCUAGAACAUCAUCAUCAGGAAUGCUGGUCCUUCAAUUUGUUUUUUGAAUUGAAGUGUAGUUUACAGUGAUCAAGUUGAAAAUAAGGCUCUGCAUGAAAGCUAACUAUUAAAAGGGUGUGGGCACAGGAGCAACCAACACAGACCCCACAGAAUCCCAAACCUAUGCUAAGAGGGAGCACUUCCAUCCCUCCAAACCUGUGCUAAGAGGGACACCUCCAUCCUUCUAAGCCUGUGCUAAGAGGGAACACCUCCAUCCUUCCAAACCUGUGAUAGGAGGGAGCAUCUCCAUCCUUCUGAACCUGUGCUAAGAGGAAACACCUCCAUCCUUCCAAACCUGUGAUAGGAGGGAGCACCUCCAUCCUUCCGAACCUGUGCUAAGAGGGACACCUCCAUCCUUCCAAGCCUGUGCUAAGAGGGAGCACCUCCAUCCUUCCAAACCUGUGAUAGGAGGGAGCACCUCCAUCCUUCCAAGCCUGUGCUAAGAGGGAGCACCUCCAUCCUUCCAAACCUGUGAUAGGAGGGAGCACCUCCAUCCUUCCGAACCUGUGCUAAGAGGGACACCUCCAUCCUUCCAAGCCUGUGCUAAGAAGGAGCACCUCCAUCCUUCCAUCUGGCAACCCCACAUCUUUCUGUGCAGCAUUGGCUCAUGGAGUUUUGCACAAUCUGUUGCCUUAAUGCAGCUGUGAGGUGGUAAACCCCAUGCCAUUGCACAGCUGUGCUGGUGGAGUCUUCAACAACAGAGGGAUGAAACGAGAGUGCUGAGUGAUGGGUGGAGUGUGCUCACAGAAGCCAGCUGUGCUUGCCCCACUCCCACCCAAAAUGUUUACCCACGUGGGAAAUGCCUGCCCUGCAUAGGAGUACCCAAGGAACCCAGGAUAUAAAGAAACUUCUAAAAUGGAUCUGAAAGGGGGAAGAGCCCUCCCCUGUAAGGAAGCGAGAGAGAUUUAUUAAAAAUCAUCAACUUCAAAUUAUUUGGAUGGAAACAUUGCCAAAUCAUAGAGAUGUUUGCUACCACCCGCACACCAAGCAGCUGGGUAACUAGAAGUGCAGGAUCAGCUUAUUCACCUCCGAAAGCCUGCAUGCAACCACUGAGGCCGCCUCUAUUUUUUACAUAGUUCUACUUGGUGUAUGUAACCCCACAGAGAAACCUGGAAGAAUGCAUGAAACCUAGUAAGGCAACCAGCACAUGCAACAGAAUGAACCGUUUCUUUCCAUCUGAAUGCCUAAAUGUGGACUCUGAUCCUUUCUACCAAGUCCUAAGUUUGGGAAAAGAGGACAAGGACAGGGGCUCUGUCCCAUAUCAUAAUGUGCUUGUGAAUGGCUAAAAUUACAAUGCUGAGAUAAGUGUGUGUAAUAAAAUAAUUGCACCCCGAA